UUUUAGCACUGCUCUGAUACAAUAAAGCCUUCUUUCUCUCCAACUGGUUCAACUUCAGCAUAGGCAGGAUGUCCAGAGCCUCUUCUAAACUUCAUCGCAGGCCAUCUGCUUGGGCGUCUCUCAAUAAAGAAGAUGCUGGCUGCUGAUGUUGGGUGGUGAUACAUAUAGACUGUCACAAGAAUGGCUGUGGCUACAAUGAGGACCAGGAUGAGGAUUCCAAUGAUGAGGCCAGCGUGGAGGGUUCCCCCUUUCUUCUCAGCUGCACUGUCAUCUGUAGAAGCUCCAUUAUCUUUUAGAUGUAGUGCUAUCUUGGUAUCAUCUUCUGUAGGGAGGCUGGUGGGAAACUGAGAAGUCACUGCUCUUCUGGUGGUAGUUAGGACCCUGAACUGGGUGGUUGUCGCUCCUACGGUUGUGGUGGUUCGAGAAGAAGUUUCCACUGGUUCUGUAUUCUCACACAUCUUCUCUUUUGACUCUUCAGGGCAUCCACUGUCCACCCAGUCCUGCCGAUGACGAUCAAAUCCACUGGAACAUCUUUGAAGUUUACUACACCAACUGCAGUUGAAGCCAAUCUGAGAAGAUACACAGGGGCCACAUCUGUUAAACUGGAGGCAUGUGGGUAAUGGGGUCAUCUCCACAGCCGAAAUGUUGGUAAUUUUUGACAUUUGUAGCUCUACUCGGUGGUAUUCAUAAAUUGUUCUUCUUCGAACAUUGGGAAUUUGUUGGAUCCUGUGGACAACGACAAAUGCAUCGGACAGUCCGACUUUCAC
rnacentral:lncRNA from 1 species